AGGAGAUUUUUAUUUUCUUUUUUUGUUCUGACUAAGUAAAAACAGGGGAUGCAACUACGCAAGGGAUGAUGUCAGAUCAUUCAAAUGAGAUAUUAGUAGGAGUCAAAGUUGGUGGCUGGUGUAAACGUCAAAGCAACAAAGGGCAUUAUAUUAUUUGAGUAUAUGUAAUGCAGAAAUCAGAGAAGAGGAUAGAUUACCCAGUUUGGGAGCAAGCUGAUGGCGGAAAGGUUCCACUCGAGGGAA